rnacentral:rRNA from 1 species
UACGUAGGGACCAAGCGUUGUUCGGAUUUACUGGGCGUAAAGGGCGCGUAGGCGGCAAUUCAAGUCAGCUGUGAAAUCUCCGAGCUUAACUCGGAACGGUCAGCUGAUACUGUUUUGCUAGAGUACAGAAGGGGCAAUCGGAAUUCUUGGUGUAGCGGUGAAAUGCGUAGAUAUCAAGAGGAACACCUGAGGUGAAGACGGGUUGCUGGGCUGAUACUGACGCUGAGGCGCGAAAGCUAGGGUAGCAAACAGG